AUGGGCGGGGGUCGUAGGGGCGCUCGUAUUCAUGUCGCUUCGGAGGCCCGUAGUAGCGGCCAGGGGUCGGCGUCCUCGCACGGCCACGUCGCGCCUUUUCAACUGAAACCGUCUUACCCAUGAGUUCAGCACCAUUCAUCGCUGUAAUAGCGGCGUCUGCCUCUUCACCGCUCUCCAUCGUAACAAACCCAAAGCCGCGAGAUUCGCGGGUGUGAGG
rnacentral:misc_RNA from 1 species